UUUUAGUGCUUGUCAGCUAUGUUGAGGUGUCAUGUAUCUUAGCAGAUACAGUAUAUUUUAUAUUCUGCAAACCAAUUAUGCAUCUUUUUCUUUGUUUUCACUCCUUUAGUUUUGUAGUUGAAGGAUUCAAGAAAGGAUUUAGACUACGAGAAACUGUGGAAGCCUCCAUCAAAUCAUGGGUUUAUACCCUGUACAAAGCCUACUCCUAAUUACUCAAUUAUUUUCACCACUUUCAAAAGUUAAAGAUGAACAAAAUGGUGUGCUGGAACUACAUGAUGUUCAUGACAAACAAAGAACUGUGCAAGCUGAUAGAUUUUGUGAAUAAGAUCCAUGUUACUGGCCAGAAUGGGCUACUAUCAGUGCUUCGUUGUUGAGGCAAAUAAGGUGACAACAAGAGUAAGAGGCAGUGGAGUCCAACUUGUUCUUGUCAUAUGCUCAACUCUAGAGCUUUUCAAGUAAUGCUAUUGCAGAGGGAUGGAUUACUUGAAAAUAGCUAAAAUGCAGGUGAAUACAGUGAAAAAUGAUACAUUAAAGCUUUUCGACAGCAUUGAGAAAUAUGAGGGAAUGGAGAACGGGAAGCGGUGGGGGUAGCAGCCACUGGCAAUCACAAAAAAAAAACUAUCUAAGACGGUUUUAAAAGAACC